GUGGUUAAUUCUAGAGCUAAUACAUGCUAAAAAUCCCGACUUCGGAAGGGAUGUAUUUAUUAGAUUAAAAACCAAUGCCCUCUGGGCUCCUUGGUGAUUCAUAAUAACUUUUCGAAUCGCAUGGCCUUGCGCCGGCGAUGGUUCAUUCAAAUUUCUUCCCUAUCAACUUUCGAUGUUUGGGUAUUGGCCAAACAUGGUCGCAACGGGUAACGGAGGGUUAGGGCUCGACCCCGGAGAAGGAGCCUGAGAAACGGCUACUACAUCCAAGGAAGGCAGCAGGCGCGCAAAUUACCCAAUCCCGAUUCGGGGAGGUAGUGACAAUAAAUACUGAUACAGGGCUCUUUUGGGUCUUGUAAUUGGAAUGAGUACAAUUUAAAUCCCUUAACGAGGAACAAUUGGAGGGCAAGUCUGGUGCCAGCAGCCGCGGUAAUUCCAGCUCCAAUAGCGUAUAUUAAAGUUGUUGUGGUUAAAAAGCUCGUAGUUGAACCUUGGGCCUGGCUGGCCGGUCCGCCUCACCGCGUGUACUGGUCCGGCCGGGCCUUUCCCUCUGUGGAACCUCAUGCCCUUCACUGGGUGUGGCGGGGAAACAGGACUUUUACUUUGAAAAAAUUAAAGUGCUCCAGGCAGGCCUAUGCUCGAAUACAUUAGCAUGGAAUAAUAAAAUAGGACGUGUGGUUCUAUUUUGUUGGUUUCUAGGACCGCCGUAAUGAUUAAUAGGGACAGUCGGGGGCAUCAGUAUUCAAUUGUCAGAGGUGAAAUUCUUGGAUUUAUUGAAGACUAACUACUGCGAAAGCAUUUGCCAAGGAUGUUUUCAUUAAUCAGGAACGAAAGUUAGGGGAUCGAAGACGAUCAGAUACCGUCGUAGUCUUAACCAUAAACUAUGCCGACUAGGGAUCGGACGAGUUAUUUUUUGACGCGUUCG
rnacentral:rRNA from 1 species